ensembl:lncRNA
CUGGGGAGAAGCCUUGUGGUCAAAGUGCCUGCUUUAACCCAAUAACAGAACGUUGCUGUGUGAACCCUACAUCUCUCCAGGGACAAAGUUACUCACAUGACCAGACCUGCUGUGAUGGAACACUCAGCCAUACUCCAGGUCAGCUGACUCCGCAUGUGAGCCAGCUGGUGUCAGAUUGCUGUGGCUCUAGGGCCUGUGAUCCACUCAACCAGUGUGACUUACAGAUUCUAACCAGGACCCAACCCCAUUCCAAGUGUUGUGGAAAAGAGCUUUACAAUAAAGACCACCAGCUCUGCUGUGGACAUGUCGAUAAAGGAAGGAAGGUCCUGACCAAAAUGUCCCGUCACCACCUGUGCUGUGGAGACCAACAGUUUGAUCCGCGAAGCCACUGCUGCUGCCAACACAUCACUGAACCAUUAAACCCUCAGCCUCUCAAUGCAAGCUGCUGUGCCAUCCAGGAAUUGCGACGUACUCCCCCAGCGCAAACUGUUCAGAACAAAACAAUUGCUCAGAGUUCUCCAAACUGUAUGCCUGGGGAGAAGCCUUGUGGUCAAAGUGCCUGCUUUAACCCAAUAACAGAACGUUGCUGUGUGAACCCUACAUCUCUCCAGGGACAAAGUUACUCACAUGACCAGACCUGCUGUGAUGGAACACUCAGCCAUACUCCAGACACCACAGGUUGAGAAAUGUUUCCUGCUGCGGAGGGAAGGCCUACGACCCCAGCAGUGGACAGAUGAAGUGCUGUGCAGGGACUCUGUACAACCUGCAGGUUCAGGACAGGCUCCCAGGUGAGGCCCAGUGCUGUGGGAGUGUCCUGAUGGAGGCCGGCUCCACCCAGACCUGCUGUUCUGCCCAAGGGCUAGACCUGCUCUACCCUACCCAGCCAGGGUUCACCUGCUGUGGGCACCGCUAUCCCAAUGCCUCCCUGUGGUCUUGCUGCGCCGGGGUCCUGCACCCAAGGCCUGAACCACACAACACCACCAAUAACGUGAUUCCAGGACCCAGACUUCUACCACUGGGGGAUCUGAAGACUGAAGUCCUGUGUCACAGCAGAAUUCUGGUAGGGACAGUGGAGAGUGUGUCCAUGAAGAUCAAUAAGCGGUCCAUCGUGAUGGUGAACGCCAUGUACAUGCUGGCCUCGCGUGGCCAUGUCAGCGCCGUGCCUUCCCCUCACUACGUCACAUUACCCGACCACUGCAGCUUCCCUGAACUGGUGCCGGGCAACACUUACAUCUGGGUGAAAAAUAAUUUCUCAGGCACCAUAAGAUUCAUCUCUGAUCUCAGCGACGAUUCCUUCCCUCUCCAUUCCAUCCUUACCAUGUGCUGAACCUUUUUCUUGCCCAGAGUAAAGCUCUACAUAAUGUUUGAAAGCUUUACAGUGUUUGUUUGCAAGUACAUUGUUAACAAUCAACGGUGUAAUAAAAAGCUCAUCUUGGGUUCAGAUGGGGUUCGACAAGUAGACAAUGUGUGUGAAGUGAAUAUCACAUUGUGCAGGAAAAAAAGCCUAUUUUAACCAAGCAUUUGUGUGUAGGUGUAUGACUUCACCAUGCAUCAAUUCAGGUGGUUUUGUGGGGGGUGGUUGCCUUUUUCCCAUCAUCAUACACGUACCACAUUAUCUGAUACUUGAUCACAGGAUCACAUUUUUGUUUGAUUAUUUCACUGCCAUACUGUGUUUGAUCUUGUCUAGCCAACUUGUCUCAAGUCCCAGACUUUAUUGUGUGUCAUCCUCAAUGUUUUUAUUCAUUUUAUUCAGAUGUUAUGAAUUUUGUCUUGUUGCUUUUUGUUCUGUUGCUCUGCGUGUGCUGAAACAUUGAUUAAUGUGCACUGUCCCUGUAAAAAAAAAAAAAAAAUUAAACUUAAUGUGCAUGCAUGGCUUUUAAGUUAUGUGUGCUUGUCUUUUUAAAUGGUCGAAUUAUUAAACUAAACUAAAGAAUGUUGUUUAAGAUUAAAGGAUCAACGGGAAUUGGAAGGUUGUUACAUGCUCGCCCACUCCUACAACUUGCCUCUGAGACUUGAAUGAAGCAAUGCAUAAACAUCCUAGGGCACUGAGUCUUUGGCUGCGUUUAUGAGCAAAGUCAAAUUAUGAAUAAAAUAAUAUAAAACUGAUAUAUACUAAACAAAAAUAUAAACGCAACAUGUAAAGUGUUGGUCCCAUGCUUUAUGAGCUGAAAUAAAAGAUCCCAGAAAUGUUCCAAUAUGC